CCUACGGGUGGCAGCAGUGAGGAAUAUUGGUCAAUGGCCGGACGCCUGAACCAGCCAAGUCGCGUGAAGGACGACUGCGCUAUGCAUUGUAAACUUCUUUUGUCAAGGGACAAAACCAGGUACGAGUGCCCGACCGUGGGUACCCGAAGAAAAAGCAUCGGCUAACUCCGUGCCAGCCGCCGCGGUAAUACGGAGGAGGCGAGCGUUAUCCGGAUUUAUUGGGUUUAAAGGGUGCGUAGGCGGGUUGUAAAGUCAGCGGUAAAAGCCCGGGGCUAAACCCAGGCGAGCCGUUGAAACUGGCUGUCUUGAGAUGUCGAGAGGUAUGCGGAAUGCGCGGUGUAGCGGUGAAAUGCUUAGAUAUUACGCAGAACUCCGAUUGCGAAGGCAGCAUACCGGCGGCGAACUGACGCUGAGGCACGAAAGCGUGGGUAUCGAACAGGAUUAGAUACCCCUGUAGUC
rnacentral:rRNA from 1 species